rnacentral:tRNA from 1 species
GCGCCCGUAGCUCAAUUGGAUAGAGCAUCUGCCUCCGAAGUAGAAGGUUGUGAGUUCAAUUCUCGCCGGGCGCA